rnacentral:rRNA from 1 species
AAGCGUAUAGCAGUCAUGCAGGCAAAACCGCAUGAAAAAUGUAAAGCGUUAUGUGGAUCGAACAUUAGUAGAGAAGCGCGUGAGCCAGCUGCCAAGAAAAGCCGCUAUUGUUUCAUAAGUACCCGUACCGUAAACCGACACAGGUGGAUGAGGAGAGAAUCCUAAGGCCGGCGGGAGAAGUGUUGUUAAGGAACUCGGCAAAAUGACUCCGUAACUUCGGGAGAAGGAGUGCCACAGAGAUGUGGCCGCAGAGAAACGGCCCAAGCAACUGUUUAGCAAAAACACAGGUCUAUGCAAAACCGAAAGGUGAGGUAUAUGGGCUGACGCCAGCCCGGUGCUGGAAGGUUAAGAGGAGAGGUUAGAGCAAUCGAAGCUUUGAAUUUAAGCCCCAGUAAACGGCGGCCGUAACAAUAACGGUCCUAAAGUAGCGAAAUUCCUUGUCGGGUAAGUUCCGACCCGCACGAAAGGCGUAAUGAUUUGGGCACUGUCUCAACAACACACCCGGUGAAAUUGAAAUACCAGUGAAGAUGAUGGUUACCUGCGCCAGGACGGAAAGACCCCAUGGAGCUUUACUCCAGUUUGAUACUGGGAUUCGGUACUGUCUGUACAGGAUAGGUGGGAGGCUAGGAAAUGGUGACGCCAGUUGCCAUGGAGCCAACCUUGGGAUACCACCCUUACAGUACUGGGUUUCUAACCUGCAGCCGUAACCCGGCUGGGGGACAAUGUCUGACGGGGAGUUUGACUGGGGCGGUCGCCUCCGAAAGAGUAUCGGAGGCGCUCAAAGGUUCCCUCAGAACGGUUGGAAACCGUUCGAAGAGUGCAAAGGCAGAAGGGAGCUUGACUGCGACACCGACGGGUGGAGCAGAUACGAAAGUAGGACUUAGUGAUCCGGUGGUAUAAAGUGGGAUUGCCAUCGCUCAACGGAUAAAAGCUACCCUGGGAUAACAGGCUUAUCACUCCCAAGAGUUCACAUCGACGGAGUGGUUUGGCACCUCGAUGUCGGCUCAUCGCAUCCUGGAGCUGUAGCAGGUUCCAAGGGUUGGGCUGUUCGCCCAUUAAAGCGGUACGCGAGCCGGGUUCAGAACGUCGUGAGACAGUUCGGUCCCUAUCCGGCGUGGGCGUAGGAUAUUUGAGAGGAGCUGUCCUUAGUACGAGAGGACCGGGAUGGACAAACCUCUGGUGUAUCUGUUGUUUUACCAAAGGCAUGGCAGAGUAGCCAAGUUUGGCAGGGAUAAACGCUGAAGGCAUCUAAGCGUGAAGCCCCCCUCAAGAUAAGAUAUCCCAUCUUCGGAGUAAGACCCCUUGAAGACUACAAGGUUGAUAGGCUUCAGGUGUAAGUGUGGUAACGCACUCAGCUGAGAAGUACUAAUAGGUCGAGGACUUAGC